AGAGUUUGAUCAUGGCUCAGAACGAACGCUGGCGGCGUGGAUAAGACAUGCAAGUCGAACGGAAUUAUCAGAGUAGCAAUACAAUGAUGGUUUAGUGGCGAACGGGUGCGUAACACGUGGAUACAUUCCGGGAAGCGGGGGAUAGCCCAGGGAAACUUGGAUUAAUACCGCAUGUGGUCGAAAGACUAAAGGCAGGGACCGCAAGGCCUGCCACUUCCCGAUUGGUCCGCGGCCUAUCAGCUAGUUGGCGGGGUAAAAGCCCACCAAGGCUACGACGGGUAGCUGGUCUUAGAGGACGACCAGCCACACUGGAACUGAGACACGGUCCAGACACCUACGGGUGGCAGCAGUCGAGAAUCUUUCACAAUGGGGGCAACCCUGAUGGAGCGACGCCGCGUGGAGGAUAAGGUCUUCGGAUUGUAAACUCCUGUCAUGUGAGAACAAGGUUGUCGUGUUAAUAGCAUGGCAACUUGAUGGUACCACAAGAGAAGAGA
rnacentral:rRNA from 1 species